UUUGGUCAAUGUUUGUUCAUUAAUACAUACUAUUUCAUUUAAUGCACUUUAUUUCUUCAUGUUCUUCUUCUUCUUCUUCUUCUUCUUUCUUCUUUUUUGAUCAAUGAGUUAAGGAUUGGUGGUUAGCAUUGAUUAGGGAGGUUUAAUCUUCCUUGAUUCAAAUCUAAUUCAUCUUGAUCAUGGAUCAAGUGAAUGGCUUUGCAUUAAGGAUAAAUUGCUUUCUAAAUCAUGCAAAAUAACCUAAAUCAAUACAAGAUCAUUUAUCAUCUUCUUUUUGGCAU
rnacentral:lncRNA from 1 species